rnacentral:tRNA from 1 species
GGUUCAAUGGUCUAAUGGUUAUGAUUUCUGUCUCACACGUCUCCGGAAGGUGCACAGAAGGUUCCCAGUUCGGUCCUGCGUUGAACCA